GCUGGACAUUGCAUAUUGAUCCUGAACAGUGUCAGUUUGUUCUUCCAUACUUGUGUAUACUUGUCACAGGAAUGAGAUGGCUUAAGCUUCGUCAACUUUGAGAUCACCAUACCAAGAUGAUCAUGUUGGUGUUGCUCAGCUCGGUGUUGAUUGUCAACUCCAGGUUCUUAUAAAGAAAAUAUGCUGAUCACCAUACUCCAUAACGUAUGGCAAGAAAAGCAUGCAUUAUAUCUUUAUUGAAGCUAUAUGCUUUGUGUAAUUGUCACAUCUAGUCUUCAUACAAGUACACUGCUCCUUUUUCUAGACAUGAAAUUGGCAUGUAUAAUGCUCAUAGUUGGUAUUUCAGCCCCUACCUGUUGGCACUGAUUGUGUUUGGCAUUGACAAAGUAGUACAGGGGCAUGCCAACACAUUAUUAAGAUGACACAGUGCUUAUGCCAGUCAGCAUUCCUUUAUGUAAUAAGCUCCAUUGAUUCUCAAGUCCACUCUGAAUUAAGGAAGUGAGUUCAGAUAAAUGCGAGUGCUGAAGUUGCAGAAUCAAACAGGGCAUAUGUGGAGGAAGACCUCGAGAUCGGGAUAUCGCCCCACCUUAUCUCAACACCACGUCGUUUGAAAGGGGCGGUGCAUGGUGUUCCGAUGACGACAAAUUCCAAGAAAAUUUAUGUCGGCAGACGGCGAGCCAAGGGAGUCAACCGUGGCUGCUUGCGUCGGCCGCCGAACUGCUGCAGUAACAUGGAGGGAAGGGUUCUCUCUGUCGUGUGGACAGAGCUCGGCCUCUGAAGAAAGUCCAACCUCCCUCGGGUGUUAUCUGCAGGCACCUGCCCACCAUUUCUAUUAUUCAUGCAUUCAACCUCCGGAAGUCUUUCAUCGUUCUCAGUGCUCUGUUGCUGCAUGAUCAGGACUGCCAAUGCAGACAACCUGGUGGAUGCAAUGAUCAAUCAGGACGUGGUCAUCUGGUCAUUCUCACAAGGUGGGCCUGAUUAAUGGAUUCAUUUAAGGCGACACAGCUUUAGGCAAAGCCACUGCUGCCGGUAAUAUUCCUCUUUCUGUCUGUCUGACCACCGGAGCGGAGUUGAAUUACUUGUUGAACAUCAUUGCAUCUUGAGAAUCAAAUUUUCAAGAAAAUAGAUGGUUCUUUAAGCUGAUUCCUUCUUGAUUACUCC